UGAGUACUCUUGGGUACAGCAGAAUGGAAAACCUGCAGACCAUCACUCUGCAUUUGUCAUAAAAUAUAGCAAAAUAUACUGUGAAUUUUGUAGUAGCCACUAUCAAGUUAUUUAAAUGGCUGCUCUAUGUAUUUUUCCCUAAGAGAUGGUGGAGGAAACAGAAUUAUUUUCUUUGCCUGGGACUAGUGACAAAGCUUUACAAAGUGUGUGCAGAACAAAAGUGGUGACCUUCAACUCAUGAUGCAGCUCCACUUUGCCACAAGUUUUGGGACUGUGGGAGAGCUACACCUGGGUCUCAUGUGAGUUUUGAAUGGAGGAGUGCUGGGGCCACCUAACUUUUGCCGUCAAAGCAGUAACUAUGGAUUUUGGUUCUCCACAUAAUCAGUGGAAGGGUGCAGACUCCUCCAGAGAGCAAUUUGGAGCUCCUGAAGUUGCCAGCCCCCUAUUCUCACUGUAGAAGCAGCCAAGUGCUAUGUGGUCUGCAUGCUGUUUAUGCAUAAAUAGACCAGGACUGCUGAGUUAAUGCGGGUUUUAGUAUGAAGGGGCAUUAACAACUUCUGAGCAGAGGGAUGCCCUCUGAGUGACUGCUGGAGGCUGUUGCAGCUGGCUUCUGGGCUGAGCAGGAGGCGUCCCAGACUGCAGGGGAGGGCAGAGUGAAGAUGCAGGCUGGGUUGUGGGGGCCCACAGAGUUCCCGGUCAUCAGCUCAGUGAUACAGGAGGCAGCAAGACCCCUUUUCAACACGUAAGCAGCAGCACAGGCCAUGGGAAGAAGGAGGCCCAGCUUGCACCUUGGGGAUUUCACUUCCUUAUUCUCUCCAUCCCCAUUCUUCACACACAAAGCCCAAUUAGUCAGGCUCUACAUGUGAAUGUCACCCCUUCUGCAAAGCUUCAAGGAUGUUUAUGUAACGGAACACUCCACUUCCAGAAAGUAGUUGACUGGUGCUGGAGUUUCCCAACGGCAGGUCUGUUUUUUUUUUUUUCCCUUGCAAUCACUUGUGGAUUCUUUACAUAGACAGCAAAUUCUUUUCCAAAUUCUGCCCUUACAAUCCCUCUGAGGUAAAGGCAGAUAGGAUUAACCUCUCUUCACAUGAAGGAGAAGGCAAGGGAGAGGAGUUAAGCAACUGUAACUGAAGAAUUCAAGAAAAGACAUAACCGUAUCUGUGUUUUGAACCAGCGUUUUCCAUCAUUUCUCUGAACAACUCCACAAAGAAAAGUAAAAAGAAAUUACAUUAGCCAGAUUCCCUUCUUUGCCCCUUAAAAUAGAGGUUCCACCCCUUCGGAUGUUGGUUUUAUCUUCCUGCGCAUUCCCAUGUGAUAGCUCAGGAGCUGUUGAUGUUGGCCUAGUGUCUACUGGGAUUUCAUGUGACAAAAUCUGUCUGCAGCACCGGCUUGCCAAGUCUGGAUUCUUCUUCCCGUUCCCGACAAAUUACGAAGCAGGCAGCAAGAGCAUGUUAACUGUUAGUCUAAAGCAUAACCCAGAGCAAGUAUCUGGAUUUUCUAGCUGACUUUGGAGAAAUUUUAUUUCACAUGUUUCUCAGCUCCAUAUGAUAUUUUUCUCCCCCAUUCAUGCCUGGGGAUUUGGAAUUUGAAAAAUUAAAGACAACAAGUCAGGUUUUACCAACACCCAUCUAUGCAGGACUGUUGCAGAAUGGUGAGGAAAUGCCCAACAUUGUUGUGUCAUUGAAGACUGACUCAAUACAUGGAGAAAUCCCAGCUUUGAAGCUGGUUGAUCCUGGGAAAAACACCACCUAAAGCCUGUCCCCCUGCCUCCUGUGGUCAGUGUUACACACAGGUCAUCACCCACCUCAACAGGAAGAGUGCUUUCAGACAUCUGGAGGCACUGACACACAACAGCUCCUGCCUGUGAGCCAGCAGAGCAGGGCCAGACCCUCUUCUUCAGGUGCCCAUGAGUGAGAAUAAGGUCUCUUAUUUGCUCCAUUCAUGUUCUUCAUGUAGGUGCAGGUCUGUGCAAGGUUACCAAGAUGCAAUGCAGCACACAGCAGGAGCACAGGAAGACUGGUCAGGUCCCUGUCUCGUAGAGAGCCUUUUGUGGCAGCAACCUCCGUCACCAAAGGACGCAGAACUUGAGGCUUGAGGCAUCCCAUGGUGCAGGAAUUCUUCACAGCAUGGCUUAAGGGAUAGUAUAAUGUGAACCCUUUCUCCAAAUAAGAAUGUGAGGACAGUCAGAAAACUAACCAAAGACAGAAUCCAUUAUGAAGACAACAUAAAA